UCCACUGAAGGAACGUUAAAGACGAUGACGUUGAUAGGUCGGGUGUGUAAGCGUAGCGAUACGUUGAGCUAACCGAUACUAAUGAACCGUGAGACUUAACCUU
rnacentral:rRNA from 1 species